AAUAAGCGGAGGAAAAGAAACUAACAAGGAUUCCCCUAGUAACGGCGAGUGAAGCGGGAUGAGCUCAAAUUUAAAAUCUGGCGGCCUCAGGUCGUCCGAGUUGUAGUCUAGAGAAUCGUUUUCCGCGUUGGCCUGUGUACAAGUCCCUUGGAACAGGGCGUCAUAGAGGGUGAGAAUCCCGUCCUUGACACAGACUACCAAUGCUUUGUGAUGCGAUCUCGAAGAGUCGAGUUGUUUGGGAAUGCAGCUCAAAAUGGGUGGUAAAUUCCAUCUAAAGCUAAAUAUUGGCGAGAGACCGAUAGCGAACAAGUACCGUGAGGGAAAGAUGAAAAGCACUUUGGAAAGAGAGUUAAACAGUACGUGAAAUUGUUAAAAGGGAAACGAUUGAAGUCAGUCAUGCUUUCCGAGACUCAGCCGAUUCUGUCGGUGUACUUCUCGGUUGGCAGGCCAGCAUCAGUUUCGAUCUGUGGAAAAGGUUGGAGGGAACGUGGCAUCCUCGGAUGUGUUAUAGCCCUUCUUCGAAUACAUAGAGCGGGACUGAGGAACGCAGCGCGCCUUUUAUUAGGUUGGCCCUCGGGUACAUACGCGCUUAGGAUGCUGGCAUAAUGGCUUUAAACGACCCG
rnacentral:rRNA from 2 species